rnacentral:rRNA from 1 species
GAACGACGCUGGCGGCGUGGAUAAGACAUGCAAGUCGAACGCUUGUUUCGGGGUAGCAAUAUUCCGAGCAGGAGUGGCGCAAGGGUGCGUAACACGUGGGUAAUUUGCCGCGAAGCUGGGAACAACUCGUUGAAAGACGAGCUAAUACCCAAUGUGCUCCGCAAGGAGUAAAGCCGGGGACCGCAAGGCCUGGCACUUCGCGAUAAGCCCGCGGCCUAUCAGCUAGUUGGCGGGGUAAAAGCCCACCAAGGCUAAGACGGGUAGCUGGUCUGAGAGGACGACCAGCCACACUGGAACUGAGACACGGUCCAGACACCUACGGGUGGCAGCAGUCGAGAAUUUUUCACAAUGGGCGCAAGCCUGAUGGAGCGACGCCGCGUGGGGGAUGAAGGGCUUCGGCUCGUAAACCCCUGUCAUUUGCGAACAAGGGCGCCAACCUAACAUGUUGUCGCUUGAUAGUAGCAGAAGAGGAAGGA